AUGUAUGUGUAUUUAUCUUCAAUCUUCCAUUUGGCAACUUUUCAUUGGAUACUUGGAUUUUAUUUAGAUAAGAUAAUUUAAUAUUAUGCAAUCAAUUUAACAUUAUCUUCAAUCUUCCAUUUGGAAACUUUUCAUUUGAUGCUUGGAUUUUAUUUAGAUAAGAUAUAUUAUUAAUAUUAUCUAGCAUGAAAAUUCAUUACAUUUCUUGUAUAAAUAGAGUAUCACAUUGAGGCUUUCUCAUCCAACCAACAUAUUUCAGUUCCGUCUCUAUAAAUAUGUCAUAUAGUGAAAGCUUAUCGGAGCUUUCUGAUUUAUUGGAUGAGUUUGAUGCAUGAAAAGAACGAGUAAUUUAAUCAAAUCGUCAAUUUGGCGACAUCAUGAUUGAAUUACUCACAAGCAUGCUUGAUAUGAUCAUGAGAGAUCAUCCUCAUACAAGAAGGAUGGGUUGCAAUCUAGCACGUGAGCAAGUCGAGGCACACUUGAUGCAAGGAUACUUUGUUAAUAACCCAACGUGAUCCAACAACUUUUCGGCGUCGAUUUUAAAUGAAGAACCACUAUUCCUACGUAUAGUUAUUGUUACGUCAAAUGAUAGAUAUUUUCAACAAAGAUGUGUCAUAUACAAACAAGGUUUUUCACUGUUGCAAAAGUGUACUAGAGCCAUGUGGGUGUUAGAGUAUGGGACAUCAACAGAUGCACAAGAUGAAUAUUUAAGAAUGAGUGAAACUGUAACAAGCAACUCUCUUAUAAAGUUCGUAGAAGUUAUUAUUUCAUGCUUUAGCCAAGAGUACCUUAGAAUGGCAAAUGAUGAUGAUUUAGCAAGACUACUACAUGUUGGGUAGAACAUGGAUUCCCAGGAAUGGUAGGCAAUAUCGAGUGUAUGCACUAGAAAUGGAAAAAUUGUCCCACUGCUUGGGCUGGGGUAAUAUGCAGGUAGAAGUGGUAAAACAAC
rnacentral:lncRNA from 1 species